rnacentral:lncRNA from 1 species
GGAGAAACUUCUAUUUCUUCUUGGCUGAAUGCCCUUCAUCUGGCUUGAAGGGAACAGAAUUCUGAAGCUUGCAACACAAACUGGAAAGACAGUUCAAGUCAUUUUAGACAAUGAACAACAGUGGAGAGGACUGUAUCCACGAAAUGAGUCAGGAGGGGCAGUUUUGCCACCAGAGAAGAAUUCCUCUUCACCAGCUGUGAUAUCAUUUAACAAUGACAGCUCUCUGGUUUGGUAUCAAGAAAAGCUGGAAAGCUGUCAAAUAGUUGGACUUCAAUUCCUGGCUAAAUUUCAAGGGAACAGGAAUCCUGAACUAGUAUACGUGACUGACAAAGAAGUAGCAUUAUGA